rnacentral:rRNA from 1 species
GAUGAACGCUAGCGGCAGGCUUAACACAUGCAAGUCGAGGGGUAACAGGGAGUGCUUGCACUCUGCUGACGACCGGCGCACGGGUGCGUAACGCGUAUGCAACCUACCUUCUACAGGGGGAUAGUCCAGAGAAAUUUGGCAUAAUACCCCAUACGAUCAUUUAUUGGCAUCGAUAGAUGAGGAAAACUCCGGUGGUAGAAGAUGGGCAUGCGUCCUAUUAGUUAGUUGGUAAGGUAACGGCUUACCAAGACAUCGAUAGGUAGGGGUCCUGAGAGGGAGAUCCCCCACACUGGUACUGAGACACGGACCAGACUCCUACGGGAGGCAGCAGUGAGGAAUAUUGGACAAUGGAGGCAACUCUGAUCCAGCCAUGCCGCGUGCAGGAAGACGGCCCUACGGGUUGUAAACUGCUUUUAUACAGGAAGAAACGCCGCUACGUGUAGCGGUUUGACGGUACUGUACGAAUAAGGAUCGGCUAACUCCGUGCCAGCAGCCGCGGUAAUACGGAGGAUCCAAGCGUUAUCCGGAAUCAUUGGGUUUAAAGGGUCCGUAGGCGGUUUUUUAAGUCAGAGGUGAAAUCCUGCAGCUCAACUGUAGCAUUGCCUUUGAUACUGAAAGACUUGAGUUAUUGUGAAGUAGUUAGAAUGUGUAGUGUAGCGGUGAAAUGCAUAGAUAUUACACAGAAUACCGAUUGCGAAGGCAGAUUACUAACAAUAUACUGACGCUGAGGGACGAAAGCGUGGGUAGCGAACAGGAUUAGAUACCCUGGUAGUCCACGCCGUAAACGAUGGAUACUAGCUGUUCGACCAACAUUGGUUGGUUGAGUGGCUAAGCGAAAGUGAUAAGUAUCCCACCUGGGGAGUACGCUCGCAAGAGUGAAACUCAAAGGAAUUGACGGGGGCCCGCACAAGCGGUGGAGCAUGUGGUUUAAUUCGAUGAUACGCGAGGAACCUUACCAGGGCUUAAAUGUAAGUUGCAUAGAUCAGAGAUGGUCUUUUCUUCGGACUACUUACAAGGUGCUGCAUGGUUGUCGUCAGCUCGUGCCGUGAGGUGUCAGGUUAAGUCCUAUAACGAGCGCAACCCCUGUCGUUAGUUGCCAGCAAGUAAAGUUGGGCACUCUAGCGAGACUGCCGGUGCAAACCGCGAGGAAGGUGGGGAUGACGUCAAAUCAUCACGGCCCUUACGUCCUGGGCUACACACGUGCUACAAUGGCCGGUACAGAGAGCAGCCACUCCGCGAGGAGGAGCGAAUCUAUAAAACCGGUCUCAGUUCGGAUCGCAGUCUGCAACUCGACUGCGUGAAGCUGGAAUCGCUAGUAAUCGGAUAUCAGCCAUGAUCCGGUGAAUACGUUCCCGGGCCU